AACCAUAUGUAUAUUUACAUGCACAUUAUAAAUAAUGCCUGAGUUUUCACGAGCUUACAAAUUUUAGCUCUAGAUCUCUGUAGCUAUUAGCCAAGCAUGUUAAAGUAAUAAAGGAUACCUCUGCUGAAAAAGAAGUCCCAAACAAGACAGAGACCAAAAAGCUUUGCAUGGUAUAACAACGUGGGUGUUUUUUUUUUUUUUUUUAAAAAAAAAAAGAAAAAGAUUUUGACGACCACCCACCUGGUUUCUACUAGGGGAGAGAGGGAAGAGAGAGCUCUAAUAUUUUUCUUUUGUGUUUAUUAGAGCUUUAAUGGACUUAAUUAUGAUUAUGUUAAAAAUUAUAAGGUUGAUGAUAAUUAUUUUGAAUGCAUGGCAACUAAAGCAUGGCGUAGAUCAGAAAGUCUGGCUUGGAGACCUAAAUAUUCAGUUGUCAACUGGUCAUUCUCUCUCCAUAACACGUGACACUGCCCUAAAACUGAACCCAACAGCUUCUUCAGCUCCUGGUUCUGUAUUUUUAACCGGUUCACUUCAACCUCAAGGUUCUCUAAAUGCUGCUUCUUUCUCCAGCGGGACCGUCGAGCUGACUCGCGGUUUGAUAUCAUGCGCCUUCGCUUUCUCUCAUCAACCGAGUACACCACCCGGUUUGAGUUUGAGUUUGAGUUGGAACCCUCCAAACCGGAGUCUGGGCUACGGGUGGGAGACUCAAAUAGGGAUAAGAGUUCUUGAAUUUCACCGGCAGUGAACCCGGUUUCAAGAACCGGGUAUUGGAGUUGGACCGCAUCUUGGGGAAAGAACAUGGCGAUGACUCGGGAGAGCAAAUAUGAGAAAACCGGUACUUUAACACUUAUCUUUGAAAGUGAACCGG
rnacentral:misc_RNA from 1 species